GUCUAUGGCCAUACCACCCUGAACGCGCCUGAUCUCGUCAAAUCUUGGAAGCAAAGCAGGGUCAGGCCUGGUUAGUACUUGGAUGGGAGAGAUAACAGUACCAUUACCA
rnacentral:rRNA from 1 species